rnacentral:sRNA from 1 species
UUUUAGCCCCGAUGGAAGCGGCAUCCUUUUAUUGCUUUAAAUAAAAAGCCCUUCGACUGCGCUCAGGGUGACAAAGCAAUAAAAGAUAUAACGGACAGCGGGAAUCAGC